rnacentral:rRNA from 1 species
GAUUAACUCUGGCGGCUUGCCUAAUACAUGCAAGUCUAGCGAACGGACGAGAAGCUUGCUUCUCUGUUGUUAGCGGCGGACGGGUUAUUAACACGUGGAUAACCUACCUAUAAGACUGGGAUAACUUCGGGAAACCGGAGCUAAUACCGGAUAAUAUUUUGAACCGCAUGGUUCAAAAGUGAAAGACGGUCUUUCUGUCACUUAUAGAUGGAUCCGCGCUGCAUUAGCUAGUUGGUAAGGUAACGGCUUACCAAGGCAACGAUGCAUAGCCGACCUGAGAGGGUGAGCGGCCACACUGGAAAUGAGACACGGUCCAGACUCCUACGGGAGGCAGCAGUAGGGAAUCUUCCGCAAUGGGCGAAAGCCUGACGGAGCAACGCCGCGUGAGUGAUGAAGGCCCUCGGCCCGUACAACUCUCUUAUUAGGGAAGAACAGAUCUGUAAGCAACUAUGCACAUCUUGACGGCACCUAGUGAGAAGGCAAGGGCUACAUAAGUG